rnacentral:rRNA from 1 species
GAUGAACGCUAGCGGCAGGCCUAACACAUGCAAGUCGAGGGGUAACAGGUUUAGCAAUAAAUGCUGACGACCGGCGCACGGGUGAGUAUCGCGUUUGCAACCUACCUUUAACUGGGGGAUAGCCCGGAGAAAUUCGGAUUAAUACCCCAUAACACUUUUAGGAGGCAUCUCCUUUUAGUUAAAGCUCCGGCGGUUAAAGAUGGGCAUGCGUGACAUUAGCUUGUUGGUGAGGUAACGGCUCACCAAGGCUACGAUGUCUAGGGGGUCUGAGAGGAUGAUCCCCCACACUGGUACUGAGACACGGACCAGACUCCUACGGGUGGCUG